AACCGAACUAACCGAACAUUGUGUUUACGGCAAAAAAAAUAAUGAAAACAAAUUUAGUUCAAUCUUCUACUUACAACAGAAAAUAGAUUUAAGUUACACGCAAAAAUAAACACAUAAUCUUUUGUGACACAGACACACGUAAUGAGUAAAUAUCAUCUAACAUGCAAUGAAAACAUUAAAUUUUAAAGAUGCAACAAUGAACUUUGGUUCUUCGGGUUUUUUCGGUUAACCGAGGCAAGAGACCGAAUUAACCGAACAAACUUCGGUUCUUUGAGUUUGCUGACCGAAGUUUUAAACGGUUCUUCGGUUUCGGUCCAAUCGGC
rnacentral:lncRNA from 1 species